GACGAACGCUGGCGGCGUGCUUAACACAUGCAAGUCGAGCGGAAAGGCCCUGCUUGCCGGGUACUCGAGUGGCGAACGGGUGAGUAACACGUGGGUGAUCUGCCCUGCACUUCGGGAUAAGCCUGGGAAACUGGGUCUAAUACCGGAUAGGAGCCAUUUUUAGUGUGAUGGUUGGAAAGUUUUUUCGGUGUAGGAUGAGCUCGCGGCCUAUCAGCUUGUUGGUGGGGUAAUGGCCUACCAAGGCGGCGACGGGUAGCCGGCCUGAGAGGGUGGACGGCCACAGUGGGACUGAGAUACGGCCCAGACUCCUACGGGAGGCAGCAGUGGGGAAUAUUGCACAAUGGGCGCAAGCCUGAUGCAGCGACGCCGCGUGGGGGAUGACGGCCUUCGGGUUGUAAACUCCUUUCGCUAGGGACGAAGCUUUUUGUGACGGUACCUAGAUAAGAAGCACCGGCUAACUACGUG
rnacentral:rRNA from 1 species